rnacentral:lncRNA from 1 species
UUAUGUAAUAUGCCUCAGGCAGUGGCAGAAACCUAGGCUGAAAUAACCAACACUACUUGCCAAACACUUUAGAAAGAUUAUGUUUCUUCUCCAUUACAGAAGUGGAACAUAUGGUUCAGAUUCUCCCCAUUAAACUACCUGCCCUCUGUAAUGUAGCUCUUCUGUGCUGCAGAAUUUGAUACUACACAAGAAAAGAAAUGAUGGGAGAACAGGGAGGAAGAGAAGAACUUGCCAAGUAGCAACAUAUAAGAGGCCAAGGGCCGGGCGCAGUGGCUCAUGCCUGUAAUCCAAACACUUUGGGAGGCCAAGGCGGGCAGAUCACCUGAGGUCGGGAGUUUGAGACCAGCCUGACCAACAUGGAGAAACCUCAUCCUACUAAAAAUACAAAAUUAGCCAGGCGUGGUGGCACAUGCCUGUAAUCCCAGCUACUCAGGAGGCUGAGGCAGGAGAAUCACUUGAACCAGAAGGCGGAGAUUGCAGUGAGCCGAGAUUGCGCCAUUGCACUCCAGCCUGGGUAACAAGAGUGAAACUCCUUCUCAAAAAA